GACGAACGCUGGCGGCGUGCCUAAUACAUGCAAGUCGAACGAACUCUGGUAUUGAUUGGUGCUUGCAUCAUGAUUUACAUUUGAGUGAGUCGCGAACUGGUGAGUAACACGUGGGAAACCUGCCCAGAAGCGGGGGAUAACACCUGAAAACAGAUGCUAAUACCGCAUAACAACUUGGACCGCAUGGUCCGAGCUUGAAAGAUGGCUUCGGCUAU
rnacentral:rRNA from 1 species